GCCUGGGUGGCUCAGUCGGUUAAGCACCUGACUUGGGCUUGGGUUAUGAUCUCACAGUUCGUGGGUUCGAGCCCCACGUCGGGCU
rnacentral:tRNA from 1 species